GCCCAGGUGCAGUGGCACAUGCCUGUAGUCACAGCUAAUUGGGAGGCUGAGGUGGGAGGAUGGCUUGAGCCUGGGAGCUCUGGGCUCUAGUGCCCUAUGCCAAUUGGGUGUCCACACUAAGUUUAAUAUCAAUAUGACGACCUCUCAGGAGCAGGGGAUGGCUGAGUUGUCUAAGGAGGGGUGAACUGACCCAAGUUGAAAAUGGAGCAGGUCAAAACUCCCACACUGAUUAGUAGCGGGAUUGUGCCUAUGAAUAGUCAUGACACUCCAGUCUGGGCAACCUAGUGAGACCCCGUUUCUU
ensembl:misc_RNA Metazoa_SRP Metazoan signal recognition particle RNA